rnacentral:rRNA from 1 species
UACAUGGGGUGCAAACGUUGCUCGGAAUCAUUGGGCGUAAAGCGCGCGUAGGCGGUUACUUAAGUCGAAUGUGAAAGCCCGGGGCUUAACCCCGGAAUUGCACCUAAAACUACUUGGCUAGAGCAUUGGAGAGGGGAGCAGAAUUCAUGGUGUAGCAGUGAAAUGCGUAGAUAUCAUGAGGAAUACCAGAGGCGAAGGCGGCUCCCUGGACAAUAGCUGACACUCAGGCACGAAAGCGUGGGGAGCAAAAGGGAGUUAGAAA